AUUGAACGCUGGCGGAAUGCUUUACACAUGCAAGUCGAACGGCAGCACGGACUUCGGUCUGGUGGCGAGUGGCGAACGGGUGAGUAACGUAUCGGAACGUGCCCAGUCGUGGGGGAUAACGUAGUGAAAAUUACGCUAAUACCGCAUACGAUCUAUGGAUGAAAGCGGGGGAUCGCAAGACCUCGCGCGAUUGGAGCGGCCGAUAGCAGAUUAGGUAGUUGGUGGGGUAAAGGCCCACCAAGCCAACGAUCUGUAGCUGGUCUGAGAGGACGACCAGCCACACUGGAACUGAGACACGGUCCAGACUCCUACGGGAGGCAGCAGUGGGGAAUUUUGGACAAUGGGCGAAAGCCUGAUCCAGCCAUUCCGCGUGCAGGAUGAAGGCCCUCGGGUUGUAAACUGCUUUUGUACAGAACGAAAAGGUUUCUACUAAUACUAGGAGCUCAUGACGGUACUGUAAGAAUAAGCACCGGCUAACUACGUGCCAGCAGCCGCGGUAA
rnacentral:rRNA from 1 species